CCCGCUGAACUUAAGCAUAUCAAUAAGCGGAGGAAAAGAAACUAACAAGGAUUCCCCUAGUAACUGCGAGUGAAGCGGGAAAAGCUCAAAUUUAAAAUCUGGUGGUCUUUGGCCAUCCGAGUUGUAAUUUAGAGAAGUGUCUUCCGCGCUGGACCAUGCACAAGUCUCCUGGAAUGGAGCGUCAUAGAGGGUGAGAAUCCCGUCUUUGGCAUGGACACACCAGGGCUUCUGUGAUGCGCUCUCGAAGAGUCGAGUUGUUUGGGAAUGCAGCUCAAAAUGGGUGGUGAACUCCAUCUAAAGCUAAAUAUUGGCGAGAGACCGAUAGCGAACAAGUACCGUGAGGGAAAGAUGAAAAGCACUUUGGAAAGAGAGUGAAGCAGUACGUGAAAUUGUUGAAAGGGAAACGCUUGAGGUCAGUCACGUUGGCCAGAAAUCAACUUGUAACAGGGCGUAAUUUCUGGUUUUACGGGUCAACAUCAAUUUUGAUUGUUGGAUAAAAGUCAAUAUUUAUGCGUUUUCGGACGUGUAGCCUUUGAUUGCAUACAAUGGUUGGGAUUGAGGAACUCAGCACGCCGCAAGGCCGGGUAACUUGUUACCACGUAACGUGCUUAGGAUGUUGGCAUAAUGGCUUUAAUCGACCCGUCUUGAAACACGG
rnacentral:rRNA from 1 species